AGCGAACGCUGGCGGCAGGCCUAACACAUGCAAGUCGAGCGCCCGUAGCAAUACGGGAGCGGCAGACGGGUGAGUAACACGUGGGAACGUGCCCUUUGGUUCGGAAUAACUCAGGGAAACUUGAGCUAAUACCGGAUAAGUCCGUAAGGAGAAAGAUUUAUCGCCGAAGGAGCGGCCCGCGUCCGAUUAGCUAGUUGGUGGGGUAAUGGCCCACCAAGGCUACGAUCGGUAGCUGGUCUGAGAGGAUGACCAGCCACACUGGGACUGAGACACGGCCCAGACUCCU
rnacentral:rRNA from 1 species